UACAGAGGGUGCAAGCGUUAAUCGGAAUUAUUGGGCGUAAAGGGCAUGUAGGUGGCGAUUUAAGUCUGAUGUGAAAGCCCUGGGCUUAACCUGGGAAUUGCGUUGGAAACUGGAUAGCUAGAGUCGGACAGAGGGCCGUGGAAUUUCCGGUGUAGCAGUGAAAUGCGUAGAGAUCGGAAAGAACACCCGUGGCGAAGGCGGCGGCCUGGGACCAGACUGACACUGAGGUGCGAAAGCAUGGGGAGCAAAAGGG
rnacentral:rRNA from 1 species